CCUACGGGAGGCAGCAGUGGGGAAUAUUGCACAAUGGGCGAAAGCCUGAUGCAGCAACGCCGCGUGAGCGAUGAAGGUCUUCGGGUCGUAAAGCUCUGUCCUAAGGGAAGAAUAUUGACGGUACCUUAGGAGGAAGCCCCGGCUAACUACGUGCCUGGAGCCACGGUAAUACGUAGGGGGCUAGCGGUAUCCGGAAUUACUGGGCGUAAAGGGUGCGUAGGCGGCCCUUCAAGUCAGAGGUGAAAGGGUACGGCUCAACCGUAGUAAGCCUUUGAAACUGUAGAGCUUGAGUGAAGGAGAGGAGACUGGAAUUACCAGUGUAGCGGUGAAAUGCGUAUAUAUUGGGAGGAACACCAGUUGCGAAGGCGGCUCUCUGGGCUGUAACUGACGCUGAGGCACGAAAGCGUGGGGAGCGAACAGGAUUAGAUACCCCGGUAGUC
rnacentral:rRNA from 1 species